CCCAGACUCCUACGGGAGGCAGCAGUGGGGGAUAUUGCACAAUGGGGGGAACCCUGAUGCAGCGACGCCGCGUGGGUGAGGAAGUACCCCGGUAUGUAAAGCCCUUUCGGCAGGGAAGAAAAUGACGGUACCUGGCGAAGAAGCCCCGGCUAACUACGUGCCAGCAGCCGCGGUAAUACGGAGGGUGCGAGCGUUAAUCGGAAUUACUGGGCGUAAAGCGCUCGUAGGCGGUAUGUCAAGUCAAGGGUGAAAUCCUCGCGCUCAACGUGGGAACUGCCUUUGAAACUGGCAAACUGGAGUGUGUGAGAGGAUAGUGGAAUUCCAGGUGUAGGAGUGAAAUCCGUAGAUAUCUGGAGGAACAUCAGUGGCGAAGGCGACUAUCUGGCACAUAACUGACGCUGAGGAGCGAAAGCGUGGGUAGCAAACAGGAUUAGAUACCCCGGUACGC
rnacentral:rRNA from 1 species